rnacentral:snoRNA from 1 species
AUGAUGGAUGAUGAUAAGAAUCAUUCGGAUUCCCAAUGAUUUCUUGUUUAACAUGAUAUCAAACAACCAGCUACUUCUGACACAU